GAGACGAUCCUGCAACUGGAGGAUUUAUUUGUUGCUCUACCAAAGAAUAUAACUGGUACCCGCUUUCCUUCCUUGCCUUGCCUUCGGCUCUAUGCUUUUUUCUCCUGCAGAAAUCUCGCAGAUCCCUCAGUGCAGACCGACAUCGGAAAGUCUUCUGUCUCUCGUCGCCUGCAGACGGUUUCUGUGAGGCCACCAAUCGCUGUGGUGAAGAUAUUCCUUGCACUGUGGCGUUCUGCGGUGAAGCAUUUUCUUGGGGCUGGCCCGCCCCCCGAGAACAACCAGAUGACUCGAGCUUCAAAGCAUAGACGGUCCUAGUAAACGGGCUCUCUUUCGCUUCGGCGUCCCGAAUUAAUGUCUUCAAGCCACGAUUUCCAUGGCUAGUAGCGGAUGAAGGACUGGCAUCAUCCAUUAUGGCAGGUACAUGUCGCUGAUCAUCAACGCAGCACACCCAGAGACUACUGGGUCGAUAUACAGAACAGCUCUGGAAAGGAUAACGGGUGCAACCUGGCGACCUAGUGAUUGGAAGACAUCAGAGAAUUACUUUCCUGGCACCGGGGCUCGAUGUCACCGUCAGAAGAUUCUCCAGGGUGACGAGCCACAACCCAACGAAACUGGACUGUCGUUCCUCAGUUGAGGGGCAAAGCUAUAAAAGCAAACAUGUCUGACUCUGUUGCUUCUGGAUGGCUGUGGGAUUGCAUGCAGCAAUUCAAACCGGUACAGCAGCGUAUCUCUGCACAUUUAUCGUGAGGUACCUGCUCGCGGCGAAUUAUGCCAGGGACUGAAUCACGGCUUCUGUACUUCGUCAUAAAGGUUGAGGCUCCUAACAGCAACUAUCGUUAAGCCUGACGCAGGUCUCUGUUGCUUGUGUGUGAAGGCAUUGAGGGACAUCGUGGCACCGGACAAAGUCGCUGUGGUGCCAGGCAACUAACAAAUACCCGCGCAAAGGAAAAUUCUAGAGGAACCAAAACGUGUGUUUCUUUGUAAACGCUGCACAUUCCAUAACUAUGCCAC
rnacentral:lncRNA from 1 species